AGCAGAUCUGUGAGCUCAUCAGUGAAGACUGGAAUCCAUCAAUGCAUGCCCAGGGUGACUGAAUUUUGAUCUUGGGAUGAACAUUUCUAUCCUUGGAACCAACCUUAGAAAUUCCAGAAGUUGAGAGAUGAGGGGUCCCUCUGUUGGCACUAUGGAAUACACAAGCUAUGUCUACUAUAUUGCUUUCUGGAUAAAAAAAAAUGUCCACCGACAACAAGGAGGACCGAACUCUUGCCGUGGCUUUUCAAAAGACAUAGUCUCAGAGACUGGAGUACUUGAGAUGCUCUGUGGCAGGAUACUGACAUGGGAAGUA